CCCUAGACUAAUAACUUAGUUAUAACUACCUAGUACCUGCCUAAUAAUUUAUUACUGUUAUUGACUCUCAGUAAUAAAUAAUAAUCCGCUAUAUCCAGUAAUCCGGCAACAUUUUUGUUAUAAUAACCAUAAAAUUACUAUCGUAAACGAUAAGGCCGUUGACGCCCGGUGUCACACAUGCGGAUAUUCACAGCGGACAGACCGCGGCAGAAUUUCCGCAACAUCGAACUAUCGAAGUAUGCUGCGGAAUUAUUUUGACUUUAUUAUUAUUAUUAUUCACGUGUAUUUACGAACAACGUGUUUUGAUAUUAUAUUCUGCGGAAUCCAAGGGUCAAUUGUUCCGCAAGUGUGACACCCGCGGUCAAAAGUAACUGAUUAAGUCCGAAUAAACCGAUAAGAUAUUUUAUUUUUAUUCAUCGUUGACGUGUUGAUUGUGUAUUGUGAAUCGGUUAGUUAUUGUGUUUGUAUACUUGUUAUACGUGUUAAAUUACAAUAUUUCAGGUUUUUAGGUUUUACAAUAAGUAAAAAUGUGUUUUUAUGUGAACCUCCAAUAAUCCGGCAGUCCUCACUCCUCUAGUCUAACGAGAUUUGUAAUAGCAUCAGUCAUCACCAUAUAUUAUAGAAUGAUGCAGGCCCAUGGUAUCCGGUACCUAUGUAUCUCAGACACUGCUGAGCAUACUUUGUGCUAAUGCCCGAGAUGGGACAUAAUGAGGGCUGACACACACAUGCGAUUUGGGUGCCCUUUGACUGCAGUCAAUAUGCCAGAUCUACUUUGUGGACCUAUGUUUCGGACCUUCCCACUGACAUGACCGAGUGGUUUCCGCAACAGUCUGAAGAAUCUUACGGAGUGUUCUAUCAGUCAGAAGUGGAAAUCUUGUUCAUCAAGUAGGAUGAGGUAACACGUGGAGAGACAGAUUAGAUGAAACUAACCUAUUGUUGUUAAUUUAUUUUUAUCAUAUAGAAAUUAUGUAAGCUUUGACCACCACAGUGUAUGCAUUAUGUAUAUGUAUGAUGAUUUUGUAUAAUUUUCUGGUACUUAUUGUACAAUAAAUGAUGUGACUAAAGUGGAA